UUGAUGGAUAGUAUGAAUGGUAUAACGAGUAUAACACUGUCUCAGAUAAAAAUCUUAUAAAAUUAGAAUAAUAGUAAAGAUACUAUUUUAAACUGUAAGACGAGAAGACCCUAUAGAGCUUAACUAUAACUCUUUAAAAAGUUGAUAAACUAGUUUAUCAAUAAAAAGAGAUAGGUAGUUUAGUUGGGGCGACUACUUUCUAAAACUAACGAAAGUAAACAAGAAUUAAUUAAAAAAUUUACUGUUUAAUUUAUGAAUUUAACAGUUAUUAUAAUAGGUAAUAAUGACCCGUUAAUAAUUGAUAAUAGUAUUAACGAUCAAUAAAUAAAAGCUACCUUAGGGAUAACAGGAUAAUUUUGUUCUAGAGAUCAAAUCGAAAACAAAGUUUGUCACCUCUAUGUUGAAUUAAGACAUCCUAAAAGCGCAGAAGCUUUUAAGGGUAGGUCUGUUCGACCUAUAAAGUCU
rnacentral:rRNA from 1 species